CCCAGAGAAAUUUGGAUUAAUACCUCAUAGUAUGUGAGAAUGGCAUCAUUUUCACAUUAAAGUCACAACGGUAAAAGAUGAGCAUGCGUCCCAUUAGCUAGUUGGUAAGGUAACGGCUUACCAAGGCUACGAUGGGUAGGGAUCCUGAGAGGGAGAUCCCCCACACUGGUACUGAGACACGGACCAGACUCCUACGGGAGGCAGCAGUGAGGAAUAUUGGACAAUGGGCGCAAGCCUGAUCCAGCCAUGCCGCGUGCAGGAUGACGGUCCUAUGGAUUGUAAACUGCUUUUGCACAGGAAGAAACAACUCUACGUGUAGAGUCUUGACGGUACUGUGAGAAUAAGGAUCGGCUAACUCCGUGCCAGCAGCCGCGGUAAUACGGAGGAUCCAAGCGUUAUCCGGAAUCAUUGGGUUUAAAGGGUCCGUAGGCGGUUUAGUAAGUCAGUGGUGAAAGCCCAUCGCUCAACGGUGGAACGGCCAUUGAUACUGCUGGACUUGAAUUAUUAGGAAGUAACUAGAAUAUGUAGUGUAGCGGUGAAAUGCUUAGAGAUUACAUGGAAUACCAAUUGCGAAGGCAGGUUACUACUAAUGGAUUGACGCUGAUGGACGAAAGCGUGGGUAGCGAACAGGAUUAGAUA
rnacentral:rRNA from 1 species